UGGAGGGAACAUGGAAACCUGGGUAAUGAUGUGGGAGAGAACAUUCUCCAGUGCUGACGUGGGUUUCCCUGCGCCAGAGAACCAGAGAUGGGGUAAUUGAAGCUCAUGCUCCGAACAGUUAUAGCAAAGGAGAAACCACAGAGCUUGCAGGAAGAAGAGGCCAUGUGAGUAGAGAGUGAGAACUCGGCUGCCUAUGAGCCCAUACGAAGAAGCCUCAGGAUGAAAGCUACCUGACCAACACCUUGAUUUUGGACUCUUCUAGAACAUGGGAAAUAAAUUUUUGUUGUUUUAUAAGCUA
rnacentral:lncRNA from 1 species